rnacentral:rRNA from 1 species
GACAGAGGGUGCGAACGUUGCUCGGAAUGACUGGGCGUAAAGCGCGUGUAGGCGGCUCCGCAAGUCCGAUGUGAAAGCCCAGGGCUCAACCCUGGAAGUGCAUUGGAAACUACGGAGCUGGAGUCCUGGAGAGGAGAGCGGAAUUUCCGGUGUAGAGGUGAAAUUCGUAGAUAUCGGAAGGAACACCAGUGGCGAAGGCGGCUCUCUGGACAGGUACUGACGCUGAGACGCGAAAGCGUGGGUAGCAAACAGG